rnacentral:rRNA from 1 species
UACGUAUGGAGCAAGCGUUAUCCGGAAUUAUUGGGUGCAAAGAGUGCGUAGACGGGAAAUUAAGUUGGUAUGUGAAAUCCCUCGGCUUAACUGAGGAACUGCAACCAAAACUGAUUUUCUUGAGUGCUGGGGAGGAAAGUGGAAUUCCUAGUGUAGCGGUGAAAUGCGUAGAUAUUAGGAGGAACACCGGUGGCGAAGGCGACUUUCUGGACAGUAACUGACGUUGAGGCACGAAAGCGUGGGGAGCAAA